CAGUAGGGAAUAUUGCACAAUGGAGGAAACUCUGAUGCAGCGACGCCGCGUGAGUGAUGAAGGCUUUCGGGUCGUAAAGCUCUGUCGCAGGGGAAUAACACAAUGAAUGUACCCUGUAAGAAAGGAUCGGCUAACUUCGUGCCAGCAGCCGCGGUAAGACGAGGGAUCCUAGCGUUGUUCGGAAUUAUUGGGCGUAAAGCGGAUGUAGGUGGCUUUGUAAGUCAGAUGUGAAAGCCCAGGGCUCAACCCUGGAAGUGCAUUUGAUACUGCGAAGCUUGAGUGUGGGAGAGGAUAGUAGAAUUCCUGGUGUAGUGGUGAAAUACGUAGAUAUCAGGAGGAAUACCGGAGGCGAAGGCGGCUAUCUGGCCCAACACUGACACUGAGAUCCGAAAGCGUGGGGAUCAAACAGGAUUAGA
rnacentral:rRNA from 1 species